rnacentral:rRNA from 1 species
UAGUGGCGAACGGGUGAGUAACACGUGGGCAAUCUGCCCUGCACUCUGGGACAAGCCCUGGAAACGGGGUCUAAUACCGGAUAACACUACGGAUCGCAUGGUCUGUGGUUAAAAGCUCCGGCGGUGCAGGAUGAGCCCGCGGCCUAUCAGCUUGUUGGUGAGGUAGUGGCUCACCAAGGCGACGACGGGUAGCCGGCCUGAGAGGGCGACCGGCCACACUGGGACUGAGACACGGCCCAGACUCCUACGGGAGGCAGCAGUGGGGAAUAUUGCACAAUGGGCGAAAGCCUGAUGCAGCGACGCCGCGUGAGGGAUGACGGCCUUCGGGUUGUAAACCUCUUUCAGCAGGGAAGAAGCGAAAGUGACGGUACCUGCAGAAGAAGCGCCGGCUAACUACGUGCCAGCAGCCGCGGUAAUACGUAGGGCGCAAGCGUUGUCCGGAAUUAUUGGGCGUAAAGAGCUCGUAGGCGGNUUGUCACGUCGAUUGUGAAAGCCCNGGGGCUUAACUCCGGGUCUGCAGUCGAUACGGGCUAGCUAGAGUGUGGUAGGGGAGAUCGGNAAUUCCU